AUUGAACGCUGGCGGCAGGCCUAACCCAUGCAAGUCGAACGAGUGGCGGACGGGUGAGUAAUGUCUGGGAAACUGCCCGAUGGAGGGGGCUAACUACUGGAAACGGUAGCUAAUACCGCAUACCAUCGGAUGUGCCCAGAUGGGAUUAGCUAGUAGGGGGGGUAAAGGCUCACAUAGGCGCCACUGCCUAGCUGGUCUGAGAGGAUGACCAGCCAACCUGGAAGUGAGACACGGUCCAGACUCCUACGUGAGGCAGCAGUGGGGAAUAGUGCACAAUGGGCGCAAGCCUGAUGCAGCCAUGCCGCGUGUAUGAAGAAGGCCUUCGGGUUGUAAAGUACUUUCAGCGAGGAGGCGUUACUCGCAGAAGAAGCACCGGCUAACUCCGUGCCAGCAGCCGCGGUAAUUC
rnacentral:rRNA from 1 species